rnacentral:lncRNA from 1 species
UAUUAUUAUUAUUAUUUUUUUUAUUUUUUUGUUUAUGUUUAUUAUAUUUUGCUAUUGUUAUAUUUUAGAAAUACCAUGCAUGCUACUCUAUUACACCAUAGUGUAAAUAUUUUUUUUUUCUAAUAGGCUAUGUAAGCAGCAUACAGUAAAUAUCAUUAUUGAUAAUUGUAGAUAUUGCAUAGAACAAAAUAAAAUAAAAUAAACCAAUAAUG